rnacentral:rRNA from 1 species
GUAGCGGUGAAAUGCUUAGAGAUCAUACAGAACACCGAUUGCGAAGGCAGCUUACCAAACUAUAUCUGACGUUGAGGCACGAAAGCGUGGGGAGCAAACAGGAUUAGAUACCCUGGUAGUCCACGCAGUAAACGAUGAUAACUCGUUGUCGGCGAUACACAGUCGGUGACUAAGCGAAAGCGAUAAGUUAUCCACCUGGGGAGUACGUUCGCAAGAAUGAAACUCAAAGGAAUUGACGGGGGCCCGCACAAGCGGAGGAACAUGUGGUUUAAUUCGAUGAUACGCGAGGAACCUUACCCGGGCUUGAAAGUUACUGACGAUUCUGGAAACAGGAUUUCCCUUCGGGGCAGGAAACUAGGUGCUGCAUGGUUGUCGUCAGCUCGUGCCGUGAGGUGUCGGGUUAAGUCCCAUAACGAGCGCAACCCCUACCGUUAGUUGCCAUCAGGUGAAGCUGGGCACUCUGGCGGGACUGCCAGGUGUAAGCCGAGAGGAAGGUGGGGAUGACGUCAAAUCAGCACGGCCCUUACGUCCGGGGCUACACACGUGUUACAAUGGUAGGUACAGAGGGCAGCUACCCAGCGAUGGGAUGCGAAUCUCGAAAGCCUAUCUCAGUUCGGAUUGGAGGCUGAAACCCGCCUCCAUGAAGUUGGAUUCGCUAGUAAUCGCGCAUC